CACACUGUAUAAAUAAAGUUUGUCUCAUUCCAACUCUGCUUGGACCUAUCUAGAAAUCCUUUGAUCCGAGGCCAAAUGUCAAUGUUUUAGCGAUAAUGAAUUGCACAAAUAUAUCUAUGUAAAUAUUCAUUCAUUGUAUGUCAUCAUUCGGGUAGUUUUUGGUCUAGAGUACUCGAUUAUUCCUUUAUGAUGAGAGUCCUGUGGAUUCUGUUUUUACUAACCGGUGUCAACGCCGAAACCGAAUAUUUAACUGCAUUCCUAGAUAAACUGAAUUCUAGCAACAACUCUUGUGAUUUCACUAUAAAAGGAAGGAAAUAUGAAAUUAUUGGGAUGCUGCCUUGUAAUGUAUUGUACACAGCCUUUCAUCGCCCAACGCGAGUUAGUCUGGAAAUAACUGAUGGAAAACACAUCAGUGUUGGCUUUUCGGAUGACAAUCACUUAGCUCGUUGGCGUUCGAGGAUAUUGGAAAGAGAGUCCUUCCAAUAUCAAAUGGUAGGAAUAGUUAGAAAUGUUUAUAUUAAUUUUAGAAAUUAUGAACUAUGUUACAUCGCAGUCGACACUGGAAACAAAAAUAUAAGAAACAAUAAUGAGUAUCACACUACUACAGAUCCAAAUAUAUGUAACACGGCCAUGUUGGCAUUUUAUGCCAAUAAGACGAUUGGAAUGAUAGGUUCCGUAGAUCUGAAUAGAGAUAAUUCCAAUAAUAUCAUUGAUUUCAAGUAUAGUUACUAUUGUGAACAACUACAACCUGCGAUUAAAAUAGAAUAGAAUGUCUUUAUAUUCCAUCGGCCAAAAUUUAGGUAUAGAAAAAGUAAAGAACGAAUUAUUUAGGAUAACAUGUACCUAUAUAGUCCUUCAGAUCAAAGCCUUUUU